GACGAAGGGGGCUAGCGUUGUUCGGAAUUACUGGGCGUAAAGCGCGUGUAGGCGGUUGUUCAAGUCAGGUGUGAAAGCCUUGAGCUCAACUCAAGAAAUGCACUUGAUACUGGAUAACUAGAGGACGAGAGAGUAGUGGAAUUCCCAGUGUAGUGGUGAAAUACGUAGAGAUUGGGAAGAACACCAGUGGCGAAGGCGGCUAUCUGGACGGUUUCUGACGCUAAGACGCGAAAGCGUGGGGAGCAAACAGG
rnacentral:rRNA from 1 species